rnacentral:rRNA from 1 species
UCUUUUCCUUUUGUGCCCGCAGCCGCGGUAAUACGGAAGGUCCGGGCGUUAUCCGGAUUUAUUGGGUUUAAAGGGAGCGUAGGCCGGAGAUUAAGCGUGUUGUGAAAUGUAGACGCUCAACGUCUGCACUGCAGCGCGAACUGGUUUCCUUGAGUACGCACAAAGUGGGCGGAAUUCGUGGUGUAGCGGUGAAAUGCUUAGAUAUCACGAAGAACUCCGAUUGCGAAGGCAGCUCACUGGAGCGCAACUGACGCUGAAGCUCGAAAGUGCGGGUAUCGAACAGG